GUGGACGCUGGCGGUAGGCCUAACACAUGCAAGUCGAACGGCAGCACAGUAAGAGCUUGCUCUUACGGGUGGCGAGUGGCGGACGGGUGAGGAAUACAUCGGAAUCUACUUUUUCGUGGGGGAUAACGUAGGGAAACUUACGCUAAUACCGCAUACGACCUACGGGUGAAAGCAGGGGAUCUUCGGACCUUGCGCGAUUGAAUGAGCCGAUGUCGGAUUAGCUAGUUGGCGGGGUAAAGGCCCACCAAGGCGACGAUCCGUAGCUGGUCUGAGAGGAUGAUCAGCCACACUGGAACUGAGACACGGUCCAGACUCCUACGGGAGGCAGCAGUGGGGAAUAUUGGACAAUGGGCGCAAGCCUGAUCCAGCCAUACCGCGUGGGUGAAGAAGGCCUUCGGGUUGUAAAGCCUUUUUGUUGGGAAAGAAAAGCAGCAGGUUAAUACCCCGCUGUUCUGACGGUACCCAAAGAAUAAGCACCGGCUAACUUCGUG
rnacentral:rRNA from 1 species